AGCCUGUAGUCUAGUGGCUAAAGUGCAUGACUGGGACUCCUGAUGUCGUUGGUUCAAGCCCCAGUCAUUGCUG